rnacentral:lncRNA from 1 species
UCGUAGGCGAGUGGGUUGGGUUGACCCUGGCCUCAACCUCGUCACGAAUUCGAGGCUGGCAAGAGGGGGAGAAGAAGAGAGAGAGAAGAAAGAGGUAUUCUAAAAUACCUCCAUUUUUGUAGAAACAGAUUAUAAUAUUUUAUUGCCUUCUUCAAAAGGUAAUUUUUCAAGUUUUGCUCAAAUCGGUCUCCCACAUCGAGCGCUUAAAAUAUGAUGGCAUAUAACAUCUAAG